CUCAGGUGAGACACCUGUCCGCCACCAUUGCUCCCGCAGCAAUCUUCAGGUGCUCGUGCUGGCCUGCCGCCUGUCUGUCUUCCGAAACUACAAUUCCCAGAACAAGAGCUUCAUAAGAAGACAUUCUACACAGUGGUUCAUCUCCAUUCCCAAAGGCAAACCUUGCCCCCCAGCCCCUCACUGGGGAUUCUAGGCGGGGCUUCACCCUGACCACGCCCCCAGCCCCUCACUGGGGGAUUCUAGGCGGGGCUCCACCCUGACCACGCCCCCAGCCCCUCACUGGGGAUUCUAGGCGGGGCUCCACCCUGACCACGCCCCCAGCCCCUCACUGGGGAUUCUAGGCGGGGCUUCACCCUGACCACGCCCCCCAGCCCCUCACUGGGGAUUCUAGGCGGGGCUCCACCCUGACCACGCCCCCCAGCCCCUCACUGGGGAUUCUAGGCGGGGCUUCACCCUGACCACGCCCCCAGCCCCUCACUGGGGAUUCUAGGCGGGGCUUCACCCUGACCACGCCCCCAGCCCCUCACUGGGGGAUUCUAGGCGGGGCUCCACCCUGACCACGCCCCCAGCCCCUCACUGGGGAUUCUAGGCGGGGCUCCACCCUGACCACGCCCCCAGCCCCUCACUGGGGGAUUCUAGGCGGGCCUUCACCCUGACCACGCCCCCAGCCCCUCACUGGGGAUCCUAGGCAGGGCUCCACCCUGGCCACGCCCCCAGACCCUCACUGGGGCAUUCUAGGCGGGGCUCCACCCUGACUACGCCCCCAGCCCCUCACUAGGGGAGUCUGGGCGGGGCUCCACCAUGACCACGCCCCCAGCCUCUCACUGGAGAAUUCUCGGUGGGGCCUUGCUUCUAUCUUUGAGCCAUGCCCCAGCCCCAUAUUAUCUUAUAUAAUAUCCUUAGCCACCCCAAGAAACAGGAACUACUUCAUCUCCAAGUUACUAAAAGAAAAAUGAAGCCCAGAGAUGUUAAGCAAUUUAUUUUAGGCGAAAUGGCUAGCAAAUCAUAGACGGAGGCAAGCUGCUGAAUUCCUGAAUCCCAGUGUCCUUGCCUGUAGAACAAGAGUCUCUGGUGUGUCCCAGGAUUCCUGAAACAUUUCCUGGGUAGCCUCUUGUUCCCUGAGGAAGAUACAUUUUGGUACCUGGGGACCUGCAUUUAAAUUUCGCACAAAGGCCAGAAAUGAACAUCAAAGGCCGGAAAUGUUUCCUCCCGGAGCUCUCCAAACAACACAGGCUCCUGCCAUGGCUUUGCCCACCAUAAUCAGGUGACAGGACUCAGUUGCAGGAUGGAGAAGUCAGGCUGGAACUGAUCUGGGGGCUUCCUCCCUGCCAGUCCGGUCUCAGAGUGCCAGAAGGUGACAUUCAGUCUGUUGCGGGAGAGAAGACAUCAGUGGUCUUAGCCAGUUGUGGACCGUGACUGCUACCACUCUGCCCAGGCAGGACGGCGACCCUGGUGCAACAGCGGCGUGGGAGCUACCUACGGGGGCAGCCUGCAGCCUCCUGGUUGGGUUCAAGGUUGCUCUACAGGGGGGAACCAUGCUUGGUGCUGUGAGCGGACCAGAGCCCACGCUCGGAAGUCACAGGCAAGGAGAGAAACUUACCUCUCAUUGCUUGCUGAAUGUGAAACUGCCCUUCGGAAUGUUCAUGCUCUCAGGGACUCACAAGUCAGAGUGCAGGGAAAGCAGCAGCUGCAAGUGCUCGGCCCUGAGUGGGCUCUUACAGCACCACGGCCCCUCCAGGCUCGGGGAAAUUCAUGGAAGAGCUGGAGGGUGGGACAAGGGCUGUGAAAUGUUGUCUCAUGGACACUCCUGACCUCACGGCAGCCGUGGCUGCCUGGACAAGAUCGGGGCAGCAAGAUCAGUCAGUAUUCCAGCAGGCCGCAGUAACUGGUCUCGGUAGGUUACAAAAAAGGACUUGAAGCCGGGCGGUGGUGGCAUAGGCCUUUAACCUGGUUGGGGGAGCUCUGCUGGAGUGUUGGGAGGAACAGGAAUGGAUCUGAGUAAAAUACUUCACAUAAAUGUAUGGAAUUGUUAAAAAAUAAAACAGAAACAGUUAAAACAA